UACGGAGGGGACUAGCGUUGUUCGGAAUUACUGGGCGUAAAGCGCACGUAGGCGGAUAUUUAAGUCGGUGGUGAAAUCCUGGAGCUCAACUCCAGAACUGCCUCCGAUACUGAAUGUCUUCGAGUCCGGGAGAGGUGAGUGGAACUGCGAGUGUAGAGGUGAAAUUCGUAGAUAUUCGCAAGAACACCAGUGGCGAAGGCGGCUCACUGGCCCGGUACUGACGCUGAGGUGCGAAAGCGUGGGGAGCAAACAGG
rnacentral:rRNA from 1 species